rnacentral:piRNA from 1 species
UGGGAGUAACUGACAGUGAGGCC